CAUUAACAGCAGGUUUAUCAACACAAGGCACCCGUACCAAAGUGUUGCGUGUACACGGGAAAGAAAGAUUGAGCAAACGAAGACCAGAGGAGAAGGAAGAAGAAAGAUUAAGGAGCACAGUCCAACUUCGAGAAAGAAACCCCCUGGAAGUCUUUUCGCAAAGACAAGUAUCAGGCAUGCCUAAGAAUGAAACAAUUCUUGGUGGGGGUGGAAAACGAAGUCAGUUUUUUUCCAAUAAGAAAAAAAAGCUUAUGCUCAGAGUGAACAUUCUUCAUAUUUAGGACGCUCUAUGUUGCUUCCAGUCUAACCCAGGAUGACAAAGCUGCUGCUUUAGCCAGGAGGGAGCGGAGGCUUUGUUAAGUGUUGCUUACAACUUUUUCCCAGGCUCAAACUGAUCUUUAUUUUAUUUUAUUGCAUUGAGAUUAAUGGACUAUUAGUUAAAAGGAAGAGAAACAAUUCAAGAGGCUCCCUGUUAGUCACUCUGGUACAAGCAAGGAAAAAAAUCCAUAUUCAAGUGGAUCCAAUUCCUGGAUUCUGGAUCUGAUACACAUUUUGGUAGUAAAACAGGUCCCGCCUACCGUCCUCCUCUUUUUCAAAGAUAAGAAACUUUAACUAGAUACGUUUGGGUACCGACAGCUUAAAUGACUGCAAAGCCCAAGUAUGUGGUAAAAUGUUGAUAAACCAUCGAAGUCACUAUAAUAACCAUGCAUCAUUAACUUGAGUCUCUCCAUUUGGGCUCUGGAAGCAAACGAGUGCUAAAUGUGUUUGUUUCCUAAUAAACAAGCGGAAAUAGGAAGAACCCAACUAGUGGUCUUUCCCUUGUAACUACGGAAGCAGGAUGGCACUUCCGCUCUCCAAUGAUCUCAGUUGACUCCAGUCUCUGAGUAGUUUUGGUACACUAAUAAUACAUCACUUUUUUGUCUUUGAUGACUAGUCCCUUAAUCCCAAAUGCCCUUUACGGUAAGGAGAGAACCAAACAAAGCAAGAAGUGAAGGUGAUUUUCUUUUCCCACUUUUAGGAAGAGGGAGUUGCUAAAUUUGUAAAUUACAUUUUUAUAUCAGAACAACCGAGCAUCCAUUUUCAAUUCCAAAAUAUCUAGGAGAGGAGUUUUUUCUUAUGCUUAACCAUCUAAAACAUAUAGGUGUAAGCAAUGUGAAGUCAACAAAGACUAAAGGGCUGUCAUGAUAAGUUGACAUUAGGCUAUUACCAUGUCAACAGAGUCAGACCACCACCAGUAAGAUUUAAACUAUUGAUAUGUUAUUGCGCUAUUCAGUGUUGGUUCAUGUUUUUAUUAACAUCUACAAGCUGCUUUGAAGAGCAAAAUGUUUCUGAGGAAACAACUGCACAUUAGAAGAGAAAAGAUUUUUAUUAUUAUUUUUAAAGUGUAAACAGAAAUAUACAAUUCAUAAGAACUCCCUGCAGUUCUUUACAUAAGCAAAAACGCAAGUCAAUUAGGGCACGAGAAAGACACUUUUAAAAGGGUAUUUAUUACAGCAGAAUUUUUUUGCACUUAAUUUCCAUUAAAAUAA